rnacentral:rRNA from 1 species
UACGUAGGGUGCAAGCGUUGUCCGGAAUUAUUGGGCGUAAAGAGCUCGUAGGCGGUCUGUCGCGUCGGCUGUGAAAACACGGGGCUCAACUCCGUGCCUGCAGUCGAUACGGGCAGACUAGAGUUCGGUAGGGGAGACUGGAAUUCCUGGUGUAGCGGUGAAAUGCGCAGAUAUCAGGAGGAACACCGGUGGCGAAGGCGGGUCUCUGGGCCGAUACUGACGCUGAGGAGCGAAAGCGUGGGGAGCGAACAGG